rnacentral:rRNA from 1 species
AUUGAACGCUGGCGGCAUGCCUAACACAUGCAAGUCGAACGGCAGCACAGUAGAGCUUGCUCUAUGGGUGGCGAGUGGCGGACGGGUGAGUAAUGCAUCGGGAUCUACCCAAACGUGGGGGAUAACGUAGGGAAACUUACGCUAAUACCGCAUACGUCUUACGAGAGAAAGCAGGGGACCUUCGGGCCUUGCGCGGUUGGACGAACCGAUGUGCGAUUAGCUAGUUGGUAGGGUAAUGGCCUACCAAGGCGACGAUCGCUAGCUGGUCUGAGAGGAUGAUCAGCCACACUGGAACUGAGACACGGUCCAGACUCCUACGGGAGGCAGCAGUGGGGAAUAUUGGACAAUGGGCGCAAGCCUGAUCCAGCAAUGCCGCGUGUGUGAAGAAGGCCUUCGGGUUGUAAAGCACUUUUAUCAGGAGCGAAAUACUACCGGCUAAUAUCCGGUGGGGCUGACGGUACCUGAGGAAUAAGCACCGGCUAACUUCGUGCCAGCAGCCGCGGUAAUACGAAGGGUGCAAGCGUUAAUCGGAAUUACUGGGCGUAAAGCGUGCGUAGGCGGUUAUUUAAGUCUGUUGUGAAAUCCCCGGGCUCAACCUGGGAAUGGCAAUGGAUACUGGAUAGCUAGAGUGUGAUAGAGGAUGGUGGAAUUCCCGGGUGUAGCGGUGAAAUGCGUAGAGAUCGGGAGGAACAUCAGUGGCGAAGUCGGCCAUCUGGAUCAACACUGACUCUUGAGGCAUGAAAAGCGUGGGGAGCAAACAGG